rnacentral:rRNA from 1 species
UACGUAGGCAGCGAGCGUUGUUCGGAGUUAUUGGGCGUAAAGAGCGCGUAGGCGGCUUUCUAAGUUUGGUGUGAAAUCUCCCGGCUUAACUGGGAGGGUGCGCCGAAAACUGGAAGGCUUGAGUAUGGGAGAGGGAAGCGGAAUUCCUGGUGUAGCGGUGAAAUGCGUAGAUAUCAGGAGGAACACCUGCGGUGUAGACGGCUUACUGGACCAUAACUGACGCUGAGGCACGAAAGCGUGGGUAGCAAACAGG